rnacentral:rRNA from 1 species
CAAUCACUUGUCUUUUAAAUGGAGACCUGUAUGAAUGGNAUAACGAGGGCUUAGCUGUCUCCUCUUUCAAGUCAAUGAAAUUGAUCUCCCCGUGCAGAAGCGGGGAUAUUUACAUAAGACGAGAAGACCCUAUGGAGCUUUAGACACCAAGACAGACCAUGUUAAACACCCCAGAACAAAGGGCCAAACCAAAUGGCCCCUGUCCUAAUGUCUUUGGUUGGGGCGACCGCGGGGAAACACAAAACCCCCACGUGGAACGAGAGCACCUCCUCUCACAACCAAGAGCUCCCGCUCUAGUAAACAGAAAUUCUGACCAAUCAGAUCCGGCAAAGCCGAUCAACGGACCGAGUUACCCUAGGGAUAACAGCGCAAUCCCCUUUUAGAGGCCA